AGAAGCUUAGGAUAAAAAAACCAUGAGCCUUCAAAGCUCCAAAUAGAAGUUAGCCCUUCUAGCUCCUG
rnacentral:tRNA from 1 species